AGGAACUUAGGAUAACACCCAGACCAAAAGCCUUCAAAGCUUUAAGUAGAAGUGAAAAUCUUCUAGUCCCUG
rnacentral:tRNA from 1 species